UACGGGGGGGGGCAAGCGUUGUUCGGAAUUACUGGGCGUAAAGGGUGCGUAGGCGGUCCGCUAAGUUGGAUGUGAAACUCUGGGCUUAACCCAGAGCCUGCAUUCAAAACUGACGGGCUAGAGUUCUGGAGGGGGUAGCGGAAGUCCUGGUGUAGCGGUGAAAUGCGCAGAUAUCAGGAGGAACACCGGUGGCGAAGGCGGGUCUCUGGGCCGUAACUGGACGC
rnacentral:rRNA from 1 species